rnacentral:rRNA from 2 species
UACGGGAGGCAGCAGUGGGGAAUAUUGCACAAUGGGCGCAAGCCUGAUGCAGCCAUGCCGCGUGUAUGAAGAAGGCCUUCGGGUUGUAAAGUGCUUUCAGCGAGGAGGAAGGCAUUAAGGUUAAUAACCUUGGUGAUUGACGUUACUCGCAGAAGAAGCACCGGCUAACUCCGUGCCAGCAGCCGCGGUAAU